UACGAAGGGGGCAAGCGUUAUCCUAAAUGAUUGGGCGUAAAGUGUUCGUAGAUUGUACAUUGUAUUAUUUGUAAAAGUUUAGGCUCCUUGCUUAAGGUUGCAUUUAAAAUACAAGUGCUUGAGUAUAAGAGAGGAUAGUAGAAUUUUAUACGUAAGAGUAAAAUCUGAUAAUAUAUGAAGGAAUGCCAAUGGCGAAAGCAACUAUCUAGAUUUUUAAUAUACUGACGUUGAGGAACGAAAGUGUGGGGAGCAAACAGG
rnacentral:rRNA from 1 species